GGAGAAAAGUUUGGUGGAGCGAGAUUGAGGAGGUUGGUGAGCUACGAUCGCUGAGAUGUACACUUUGAGAGUGGAAUGGGCCAGUCCAAGAUUGAAGAGGCGUAACACAAAGAGACGGGAAGUAGAUGGCUUUCGUGCUUGGUCUAAGAUCGCACGGAACUGGGGGUUAGCCUCCACGCCAUCAGGUGAAGAGACCGGACAUCGGGACAGAGAAGGGCCCCAUCGUUCUGCAAGAGGAGGGAUGGUAUUGGAGAAAUGGCGGGACAAGAAGGCGCCUUGGCUUUAGGAGGUUUAGAAGCUUCCUUGGACUUUACAG